rnacentral:rRNA from 1 species
GAUGAACGCUAGCUACAGUCUUAACACAUGCAAGUCGAGGGGCAGCAUGGUCUUAGCUUGCUAAGGCCGAUGGCGACCGGCGCACGGGUGAGUAACACGUAUCCAACCUGCCGUCUACUCUUGGACAGCCUUCUGAAAGGAAGAUUAAUACAAGAUGGCAUCAUGAGUUCACAUGUUCACAUGAUUAAAGGUAUUCCGGUAGACGAUGGGGAUGCGUUCCAUUAGAUAGUAGGCGGGGUAACGGCCCACCUAGUCUUCGAUGGAUAGGGGUUCUGAGAGGAAGGUCCCCCACAUUGGAACUGAGACACGGUUCAAACUCCUACGGGAGGCAGCAGUGAGGAAUAUUGGUCAAUGGGCGAGAGCCUGAACCAGCCAAGUAGCGUGAAGGAUGACUGCCCUAUGGGUUGUAAACUGCUUUUAGUUGGGAAUAAAAAGAGGGACGUGUCCCUUAUUGUAUGUACCAUCAGAAAAAGGACCGGCUAAUUCCGUGCCAGCAGCCGCGGUAAUACGGAAGGUCCAGGCGUUAUCCGGAUUUAUUGGGUUUAAAGGGAGCGCAGGCGGCGGCGUAAGUCAGUUGUGAAAUCGUGCGGCUUAACCGUGCAAUUGCAGUUGAUACUGCGUCGCUUGAGUGCACACAGGGAUGUUGGAAUUCAUGGUGUAGCGGUGAAAUGCUUAGAUAUCAUGAAGAACUCCGAUCGCGAAGGCAUAUGUCCGGAGUGCAGCUGACGCUGAGGCUCGAAAGUGUGGGU